rnacentral:tRNA from 1 species
GUGGGUAUAGCUCAGUGGUAGAGUGAAUGCCUAGCAUGUAUGGGGUCCUGGGUUCAAUCCCCAGUACCUCCA